rnacentral:snRNA from 1 species
GUGCUUGCUUCAGCAUAUAAACUAAAAUUGGAACAAUAAAGAGAAGACUAGCACGGCCCUUACACAAGGAUAAUGUGCAAAUUCAUGAAGCAUUUCAUAUUUUC